GCCAAGCAUGGUGGUGUGUGCCUGUGGUCCCAGCUACUCAGGAGGCUGAGGUGGGAGGAUCGCUUGAGCCCAGGAGUUCAAGGCUGUGGUGACCUAUGAUCGCACCACUGCACUCCAGCCUGGGCAACAGAGUGAGACCCCAUCUCAA
rnacentral:SRP_RNA from 1 species